rnacentral:rRNA from 1 species
GACGAACGCUGGCGGCGUGCUUAACACAUGCAAGUCGAACGAAGUGGCGAACGGGUGAGUAACGCGGAAUCAACCUGCCCUUCAGACGGGGACAACAGUUUGAAACGACUGCUAAUACCCCAUACUGUAGGAGGGGAUUGCGUCUGAUUAGCUGGUGGGAGGGGUAACGGCCCACCAAGGCGAAGAUCAGUAGCCGGUCUGAGAGGAUGAACGGCCACAUUGGGAAUGGGACACGGCCCAGACUCCUACGGGAGGCAGCAGGGGGGAAUCUUCGGAAAUGGACGAAAGUCUGACGGAGCAACGCCGCGUGAGUGAUGACGGCCUUCGGGUUGUAAAGCUCUGUUAAUCGGGACGCGGUACCGGAAUAGAAAGCCACGGCUAACUACGUGCCAGCAGCCGCGGUAAUUC